rnacentral:rRNA from 1 species
CCUACGGGGGGCAGCAGUGAGGAAUAUUGGUCAAUGGACGCAAGCCUGAACCAGCCAUGCCGCGUGCAGGAAGACGGCUCUAUGAGUUGUAAACUGCUUUUGUACGAGGGUAAACGCAGAUACGCGUAUCUGUCUGAAAGUAUCGUACGAAUAAGGAUCGGCUAACUCCGUGCCAGCAGCCGCGGUAAUACGGAGGAUUCAAGCGUUAUCCGGAUUUAUUGGGUUUAAAGGGUGCGUAGGCGGUCGGAUAAGUUAGAGGUGAAAUCCCGAGGCUCAACUUCGGAAUUGCCUGUGAUACUGGUCGGCUAGAGAGUAGUGGCGGUAGGCGGAAUGUAGGGUGUAGCGGUGAAAUGCUUAGAGAUCAUACAGAACACCGGUUGCGAAGGCAGCUGACCAAGCGACUGCUGACGUUGAGGGACGAAAGCGUGGAGAGCAAACAGGAAUAGAUACCCGGGUAGUC